CAGUCGCCGCGGUAAUACGUAGGGUGCGAGCGUUAAUCGGAAUUACUGGGCGUAAAGCGUGCGCAGGCGGUUAUAUAAGUCAGAUGUGAAAUCCCCGGGCUCAACCUGGGAACUGCAUUUGAGACUGUAUGGCUAGAGCGUGUCAGAGGGGGGUAGAAUUCCACGUGUAGUAGUGAGAUGCGUAGAUAUGUGGAGGAAUACCGAUGGCGAAGGCAGCCCCCUGGGAUAACACUGACGCACAUGCACGAAAGCGUGGGGAGCAAACAGGAUUAGAUACCCGUGUAGUCCCUGUCUCUUAUAU
rnacentral:rRNA from 1 species